AUGAGGAGCCCCCACAAUGGCCAGGGGUCCCCUCCUGUCACUGUCACAGCUCCGUGGGGACACCCAGCCAGGGGAAUUGCUCCUCACAGUGCCAUGGGGGAGAAAUUGCUCCUCACAGCUCCAUGGGGACAUCCAGCUGGAGGAGCUGCUCCCCAGAGCUCCAUGGAGGAGGAACUGCUCCCCAAAUCUCCAUGGGGACACCUAGUUCAAGGAACUGCUCCCCACAUCUCCAUGGGGACAUCAGCUGGAGGAACUGCUUUUCACAUCUCCAUGGGGACACCCAGUUCAAGGAACUUCUCCCCACAUCUCCAUGGAGGAGGAAUUGCUCCUCACAUCUCCAUGGGGACAUCCAGCCAGAGGAACUUCUCCCCAGAGCUCCAUGGGGACAUCAGCUGGAGGACCUGCUCCUCACAGCUCCAUGGGGGAAGAACUGCUCCCCAGAGCUCCAUGGGGGAGGAAUUUCUCCCCACAGCUCCACGAGGACAUCAGCUGGAAGAACUGCUCCCCAUAUCUCCAUGGGGGUGGAACUGCUCCUCACAUCUCCAUGGGGACACCCAGCUGGAGGAGCUUCUCCUCACAUCUCCAUGGGGGUGGAACUGCUCCUCACAUCUCCAUGGGGACACCCAGUUCAAGGAACUGCUCCCCACAUCUCCAUGGGGACAUCAGCUGGAGGAGCUGCUCCCCACAUCUCCAUGGAGGAGGAAUUGCUCCUCACAGCUCCAUGGAGGAGGAACUGCUCCCCACAGCUCCAUGAGGACAUCAGCUGGAACAACUGCUCCCCACAUCUCCUGCCCACAUGAAGGACCCUGGAGAUCCUGUGUGGGAAUUGUGUCCCUGCAGCCAUCCUGGUCACAGGUGACACCUUGGGAGGCGCUGGGGCUCUCCAGAGGGGUCAGUGUGGCUCACGGGGACAGUGGUGGUGUCCUCCUCCAUCCUGGGAUCUGCAAGUGCUUCCCUACAGAUUUUCUCCCGGAGGAAACUCCAAACCUGCAGCAGGAUCCAGGAUUGCUCUCUGCCUUCUCCUGCCACCAUCCCGUGGCUGUUCCUUGGGGUUCCUGCAGGAGUUGGGGCCAGGGGCUGCUCCCGAGGGCGCAUUCUGCUCUGGCCCCUCACUGUGGCACAGGAUUGGCACGGGACUGGCACAGGACCAGCACAGGAACAGCACAGGAACGGCACGGGACUGGCACAGGAUUGGCACAGGACUGGCGUGGGACUGGCACAGGACUGGCACAGAACUGGCACAGAACUGGCACAGGAUUGGGAAAGGACUGGCGCAGGACUGGCACAGGACUGGCACAGAACAGGCACAGAAUUGGCACAGGAUUGGCACAGGACUGGCACAGCCGCUGCCUUCGCCGGGUGCCAGCUGGGGGUGGCCUCAUUCCUGCCCUGCCCUGGGAUGCUCCUGCUGGGAAAUGGGAUCCAGCAGGACACAACCUCCCUGGAUUGGGCCCUCCAGGUGCCAGAGAUGUGACCCGAGCCCAGUUCGGGUGGCUCAGGUGCUCCUGGCUGUGCCUGCAGGGCGGGUUUGAGGAUUUCGGCGGGUUUGGGGUGGUUCGGUUUGGGCUCCUCCCAGAGCUGUGA
rnacentral:lncRNA from 14 species